rnacentral:rRNA from 1 species
CUAACUACAUGCAAGUCGGACGGGAUUCAGGGAGUAGCUUGCUACAAACUGAUGAGAGUGGCGCACGGGUGCGUAACGCGUGAGCAACCUACCCAUAUCAGGGGGAUAGCCUCUCGAAAGAGAGAUUAACACCGCAUAACAUCAUUUACCGGCAUCGGUUUUUGAUCAAAUAUUUAUAGGAUAUGGAUGGGCUCGCGUGACAUUAGCUAGUUGGAGAGGUAACGGCUCACCAAGGCUACGAUGUCUAGGGGCUCUGAGAGGAGAAUCCCCCACACUGGUACUGAGACACGGACCAGACUCCUACGGGAGGCAGCAGUAAGGAAUAUUGGUCAAUGGAGGCAACUCUGAACCAGCCAUGCCGCGUGCAGGAUGACUGCCCUAUGGGUUGUAAACUGCUUUUGUCAGGGAAUAAACCUUUCUACGUGUAGAAAGCUGAAUGUACCUGAAGAAUAAGGAUCGGCUAACUCCGUGCCAGCAGCCGCGGUAAUACGGAGGAUCCAAGCGUUAUCCGGAUUUAUUGGGUUUAAAGGGUGCGUAGGCGGUCCUAUAAGUCAGUGGUGAAAGACGGCAGCUUAACUGUCGCAGUGCCUUUGAUACUGUAGGACUUGAAUCUAUUUGAAGUGGGCGGAAUAAGACAAGUAGCGGUGAAAUGCAUAGAUAUGUCUUAGAACUCCGAUUGCGAAGGCAGCUCACUAAGUUAGUAUUGACGCUGAUGCACGAAAGCGUGGGGAUCAAACAGGAUUAGAUACCCUGGUAGUCCACGCCCUAAACGAUGAUAACUCGAUGUUUGCGAUACACAGUAAGCGUCCAAGCGAAAGCGUUAAGUUAUCCACCUGGGGAGUACGGUCGCAAGAUUGAAACUCAAAGGAAUUGACGGGGGCCCGCACAAGCGGAGGAGCAUGUGGUUUAAUUCGAUGAUACGCGAGGAACCUUACCCGGGCUUGAAAGUUAGUGAAUGAUCCAGAGACGGAUCAGUCCUUCGGGACACGAAACUAGGUGC